rnacentral:misc_RNA from 1 species
GGAGUGCGACACCUGAUUCC